AGAGUUUGAUCCUGGCUCAGGAUGAACGCUAGCGGCAGGCUUAAGACAUGCAAGCCGAACGGCAAGACUUGUAGCAAUACGAGUCCUAGAGUGGCGUAAGGGUGCGUAACACGUAUGCAAUCUGCCCGCAACAGGAGUAUAGCUCCCCGAAAGGGGAAUUAAUGCUCCAUAGGAAUAUCUGAGGGCAUCUGAGGAUAUUUAAACCUGAGGGGGUUGCGGAUGAGCAUGCGCAUGAUUAGUUAGUUGGCAGGGUAACGGCCUACCAAGACGAUGAUCAUUAGGGGAACUGAGAGGUUGAUCCCCCACACUGGCACUGAGAUACGGGCCAGACUCCUACGGGAGGCAGCAGUCGGGAAUAUUGGUCAAUGGGUGCGAGCCUGAACCAGCCAUGCCGCGUGCAGGAAGAAGGCCUUCUGGGUUGUAAACUGCUUUUACCAGGGGAUAAAAACGUUUUGCGAAACGGAUUGAAGGUACCUGGGGAAUAAGCCACGGCUAACUACGUGCCAGCAGCCGCGGUAAUACGUAGGUGGCGAGCGUUGUCCGGAUUUAUUGGGUUUAAAGGGUGCGUAGGCGGCUUAUUAAGUCAGUGGUGAAAGACGGCAGCUUAACUGUCGAGGUGCCAUUGAUACUGAUGAGCUAGAGUACUGAUGAGGUAGGCGGAAUGGACGGUGUAGCGGUGAAAUGCAUAGAUAUCGUCCAGAACACCGAUAGCGAAGGCAGCUUACUAAGGAGUAACUGACGCUGAGGCACGAAAGUGUGGGGAUCAAACAGGAUUAGAUACCCUGGUAGUCCACACUGUAAACGAUGAUCACUAGAUGUUGGCGAUACACAGCCAGCGUUCCAGCAAAAGCGAUAAGUGAUCCACCUGGGGAGUACGCCGGCAACGGUGAAACUCAAAGGAAUUGACGG
rnacentral:rRNA from 1 species